CGGUGGCUGCAACGAGGAGGAGCUGGGGUCGCAGUGGGUUGCGGCGCCGAGCCCGGACGGAAGCGCCGAGGGGCCGGGGUCGCCAAGGGCUGCUGCGGCCCUUCCCGGAGCCCAGUGCUGGGCACGCAAGGCGCUGGCUCAGGCGCACCCAGUGGCCGCAGCUGCAGCGGGAGGAGCGCGGCGGCGCGGGGUCCUCGGAGACAGCGUUUGUCCGAGAAGCCUUCCUGGGGCGGUGGGUGGGAAGUGGGGGCCGGAGCUGCAGCGGGAGGCGUCCUGUCUCCUCAGGUCGGCACCAUGCCCCUGCAGCCCUGAGCGGGGCCCUGCUGGGCUGCCUCUGCCUGGCAUUGCUUUUCCUGGGCGGUGCGGACAAGCGCCUGCGUGAUAACCAUGAGUGGAAAAAACUAUGGUCCAGCACUGGCCUGAGACAGUAUGCGAGACAGUUGAAAACGACUGUAGAGACCCUCCGGAUUACUGGACAAUACAUGGGACUAUGGCCCGAUAAAAGUGAAGGAUGUAAUGGAUCGUGGCACUUUAAUUUAGAAGAGAUUAAGGAUCUUUUGCCGGAAAUGAAGGCAUAGUGGCCUGAUGUAAUUCACUCGUUUCCCAAUCGUAGCCACUUCCGGAAGCAUGAAGAAGCAUGGGACCUCUGCCGCCCUGGUGGACGCACUCAACUCCCAGAAGUACUUUAGCAGAAGCCGGGAACUCUACAGGGAGCUGGACAGCAACAGUGUGCUCCUAAAACUGCGGCUAAAACCAUCCGUCAAUUACUACCAAGUUGCAGAUUUUAAAGAUGCCCUUGUCAGAGUGUAUGGAGUGACACCCAAAAUCCAGUGCCUUCCGCGAAGCCAGGAUGGGGAAGUACAGACAAUUGGUCAGACAGAACUUUGCCUCACUGAGCAAGGCCAGUAGCUGCAAAACUGCACCGAGCAGUGCAGCAGCCGUCCCCCAAGUAGGAAGUUUGGCUGGCGGAUGGGGCUGCCAAGAGCCGGGGUCUGAGGGUAUGUGAAGAUGGCCCAGUCUUUUAUCCCCCACCUAAAAAAAAACAAGCAUUGAUGCCCAAGUUUGGGAAAUAUUCUGUUUUAAAAAGCAAGAGAAAUUCACUUUCUGCAGCUUUCU
rnacentral:lncRNA from 1 species